rnacentral:rRNA from 1 species
UACGAAGGGGGGCUAGCGUUGCUCGGAAUCACUGGGCGUAAAAGGGUGCGUAGGCGGGUCUUUUAAGUCAGGGGUGAAAUCCUGGAGCUCAACUCCAGAACUGCCUUUGAUACUGAGGAUCUUGAGUUCGGGAGAGGUGAGUGGAACUGCGAGUGUAGAGGUGAAAUUCGUAGAUAUUCGCAAGAACACCAGUGGCGAAGGCGGCUCACUGGCCCGAUACUGACGCUGAUGCACGAAAGCGUGGGGAGCAAACAGG